rnacentral:rRNA from 1 species
AGUUUGAUUCUGGCUCAGAACGAACGCUGGCGGCAGGCUUAACACAUGCAAGUUGAGCGGGAUUCAUUUAUAGCUUGCUAUGGAUGAUGAGAGCAGCGCACUGGUGAGUAACACGUGGGAACAUGCCUUUUGGUGGGGGACAACAGUUGGAAACGACUGCUAAUACCGCAUACGCCUGAGGGGGAAAGAUUAAUUGCCGAAAGAUUGGCCCGCGGAAGAUUAGGUAGUAGGUGGGGUAACGGCCUACCUAGCCGACGAUCUAUAGCUGGUCUGAGAGGACGAUCAGCCACAUUGGAACUGAGACACGGUCCAGACUCCUACGGGAGGCAGCAGUGAGGAAUAUUGGGCAAUGGAGGGAACUCUGACCCAGCCAUGCCGCGUGAGUGAAGAAGGUUUUCGGAUUGUAAAGCUCUUUCAGAUGGGAAGAUGAUGACGGUACCAUCAGAAGAAGCACCGGCUAACUUCGUGCCAGCAGCUGC